AUGAACGCUAGCGACAGGCCUAACACAUGCAAGUCGAGGGGCAGCACAAGGAGCAAUCUGAGGUGGCGACCGGCGCACGGGUGAGUAACACGUAUGCAACCUGCCUGUAAGCGGGGAAUAACCCGUUGAAAGACGGACUAAUACCGCAUAAUACUAAAUUACUGCAUGGUAAUUUAUUUUAAACAUUUUAUGGCUUACAGAUGGGCAUGCGCAUGAUUAGCUAGUUGGAGAGGUAACGGCUCCCCAAGGCAACGAUCAUUAGGGGUUCUGAGAGGAAGGUCCCCCACACUGGUACUGAGACACGGACCAGACUCCUACGGGAGGCAGCAGUGAGGAAUAUUGGUCAAUGGACGAGAGUCUGAACCAGCCAAGUCGCGUGCAGGAAGAAUGUCCUUAAUGGAUUGUAAACUGCUUUUGCAGGGGAAUAAAGUGCAUCACGUGUGAUGUUUUGUAUGUACUCUGCGAAUAAGGAUCGGCUAACUCCGUGCCAGCAGCCGC
rnacentral:rRNA from 1 species